rnacentral:rRNA from 1 species
GAUGAACGCUGGCGGCGUGCCUAAUACAUGCAAGUCGAGCGAACAGACGAGGAGCUUGCUCCUCUGACGUUAGCGGCGGACGGGUGAGUAACACGUGGAUAACCUACCUAUAAGACUGGGAUAACUUCGGGAAACCGGAGCUAAUACCGGAUAAUAUAUUGAACCGCAUGGUUCAAUAGUGAAAGACGGUGUUGCUGUCACUUAUAGAUGGAUCCGCGCCGCAUUAGCUAGUUGGUAAGGUAACGGCUUACCAAGGCAACGAUGCGUAGCCGACCUGAGAGGGGGCAGCCGGCCUCAGGAGGUGACAGACGAUCCAGGCUCCUACGGGCGGCACAGAUUGCUACUGGACGGCAAAGGGCGAAAGCCUGCAGGAGCGACGGAGCGCGAGUGAAGCAACUCCGCGUACCGUAAAACGGCCUUCUUGGGGAAGACCAAAUGUGCAAGUGACGAUGCGCGUCUGGCGGUUACCUAUUAAGAAGGCCCCGCUUACCUCCGU